UGGCGGAUGGAAAUAGACCGAAUGAGCUUACUGGUGUGUCCACAACGCGUGUUUGUCUCAACUCGACUGUCUAAUCUGCUGGAAUUAACCGACCUCAUCCGAGCCCCAGACAGAAGCUGUUGCCCACGGGACAGAGGAAGGACGUCGAAAGAAGUAAGGGAAGACUUGGCCGUAUUGGACAAAGACUCCCCUGAUUUAACUCCGCUUCUUCCCUCCCUCCUGAGAGUUCUGCGGGCCGAGCGAGGGAGGAUUGGAAAGAAAGCCUCGGGGGAGGACACCGAGGAGCUCCCUAAACGCACACCGCCGAAGAAGACCAAUCACCCGGGAGGCUCGUGGCGGCGGUGACUCUCGAGCUGACGAACAUGUCACGAGACCAGUGCGAGUCGGUGGCGGUGAGCGUCGAGUCCCUGCUGGACGACGCGCAGCAGAUGCAGACGCAGUGCCACGAGCGCAGCGAGCAGCUCUCGCUGGCCGCCGCCCAGCUGCGGGUGGAGUCGGCGAUCUUGAAGGAGAAGUGCGAGUCGGCCCAGCUCGAAAUGGCCCGGAUUCGCAGGCAACUGGACGAGCUGCUGGAUACGAAGGCCGCGUUCGAGGCCAGGGAGAGACAGGCGCGCAAACUCAGCAAGCACC